rnacentral:rRNA from 1 species
UGGGGAAUAUUGGACAAUGGGGGCAACCCUGAUCCAGCCAUGCCGCGUGUGUGAAGAAGGCCUUUUGGUUGUAAAGCACUUUAAGCAGUGAAGAAGACUCCAUGGUUAAUACCCAUGGACGAUGACAUUAGCUGCAGAAUAAGCACCGGCUAACUCUGUGCCAGCAGCCGCGGUAAUACAGAGGGUGCAAGCGUUAAUCGGAAUUACUGGGCGUAAAGCGAGCGUAGGUGGCUUGAUAAGUCAGAUGUGAAAGCUCCGGGCUUAACCUGGGAACGGCAUCUGAUACUGUUAGGCUAGAGUAGGUGAGAGGAAGGUAGAAUUCCAGGUGUAGCGGUGAAAUGCGUAGAGAUCUGGAGGAAUACCGAUGGCGAAGGCAGCCUUCUGGCAUCAUACUGACACUGAGGUUCGAAAGCGUGGGUAGCAAACA